UCAAGUAAGUUGACUGUUUCUUGCGAAGUUCCAUUGAAAGGUUCUGAAGGUCAGUGGCAAGAGAGCGCUGUACAUUUUUUCUCACAUUUGAAUCCUCAGAAGGCCCAGCUGCAGAAAGUCUUUGUAAUUUCUUCUCUGAUUUCCUUAUAAGAUCAGUUAUCUCAUGAGUUAGAGCCUCAAUCAUUCGCUGAUCUUCUUUACCAUCUCCAAAUGAAGGCAUCAAAGCUUUAGCAUGAGCCUUG
rnacentral:misc_RNA from 1 species